rnacentral:rRNA from 1 species
AACGCGAAGAACCUUACCUACCCUUGACAUGCUCGGAAUCUGCCAGAGAUGGUGGAGUGCCUUCGGGAGCCGAGACACAGGUGCUGCAUGGCUGUCGUCAGCUCGUGUCGUGAGAUGUUGGGUUAAGUCCCGUAACGAGCGCAACCCUUAUUCUUAGUUGCCAACAGGUAAUGCUGGGAACUCUAAGGAGACUGCCGGUGAUAAGCCGGAGGAAGGUGGGGACGACGUCAAGUCAUCAUGGCCCUUACGGGUAGGGCUACACACGUGUUACAAUGGACGGUACAGAGGGAAGCGAAGCCGCGAGGUGAAGCGAAUCUCAGGAAAGCCGUUCGUAGUCCGGAUUGGAGUCUGCAACUCGACUCCAUGAAGUUGGAAUCGCUAGUAAUCGCGGAUCAGAACGCCGCGGUGAAUACGUUCCCGGGCCUGUACACACGCUAGUC